rnacentral:rRNA from 1 species
AGUUCGGAUUGUAGUCUGCAACCCGACUACAUGAAGCUGGAAUCGCUAGUAAUCGCGGAUCAGAAUGCCGCGGUGAAUACGUUCCCGGGUCUUGUACACACCGCCCGUCACACCGUGGGAGUCGGAAAUGCCCGAAGCCUGUGACCCAACCUACGGGAGGGAGCAGCCGAAGGCAGGUCGGAUGACUGGGGUGAAGUCGUAACAAGGUAAC